ACGGGUGAGUAACGCGUGGGAAUCUACCGUACCCUACGGAAUAGCUCUGGGAAACUGGAAGUAAUACCGUAUACGCCCUAACGGGGAAAGAUUUAUCGGGGUAUGAUGAGCCCGCGUUGGAUUAGCUAGUUGGUGGGGUAAAGGCCUACCAAGGCGACGAUCCAUAGCUGGUCUGAGAGGAUGAUCAGCCACAUUGGGACUGAGACACGGCCCAAACUCCUACGGGAGGCAGCAGUGGGGAAUAUUGGACAAUGGGCGAAAGCCUGAUCCAGCCAUGCCGCGUGAGUGAUGAAGGUCUUAGGAUUGUAAAGCUCUUUCAACGGUGAAGAUAAUGACGGUAACCGUAGAAGAAGCCCCGGCUAACUUCGUGCCAGCAGCCGCGGUAAUACGAAGGGGGCUAGCGUUGUUCGGAAUUACUGGGCGUAAAGCGCACGUAGGCGGGUAUUUAAGUCAGGGGUGAAAUCCCGCAGCUCAACUGCGGAACUGCCUUUGAUACUGGGUAUCUUGAGUAUGGAAGAGGUAAGUGGAAUUGCGAGUGUAGAGGUGAAAUUCGUAGA
rnacentral:rRNA from 1 species